AGAGCAAAAGAAGCAAUUCCUGUAUCAAAAUCUGAAUUGGAUGCCUAUCUCGAGGACAGUGUUUAUAUUCCUGAUGGAAAUAUGUCUUCAUUUUGUGCCUUGGAGUGGUGGAGGAACAACAGCAUGAAAUAUAAAGUUUUAUCGAAGAUGGCUGCUGAUGUACUUGCGAUUCCAAUAUCAACAGUAGCUUCAGAGUCUACAUUUAGUGCUGGAGGUAGAAUUAUAGAUGAAUAUCGUUCAAGAUUGAAUGAAGAAUCUAUUGAGACACUAAUUUGUGGAGGAGAUUGGCUUCGACAUAAAUACAACUUGAAAAAAAAGAAGGUGAAUGAGUCUUUGAAGGAGAUAAGCUUAUAGAUUAAAGAAGUUCUUUAAUACUUUGGUUGCGGAGUGGAAAUGCUAAUGUCCAGAAGAUAUUAUUGAUCUAUUUGCUAUUUUUCUCUUGAAACUUUUAUUGUAUUGAUUUAAUGGUUUCAGAAACUUUGGGGGAAUUUGCAAUUCUUGUGGCUUGUGGCCUGUGGGUGACGUGAACUUGAAAAACUAUGUUAUUAAUUUCUAAAUAUUUUUGUCGAAUUUUUUAAUAUUGCUUCUGAGUUAGCGUUGCUUAUUUCUUUGUUAGAACAAUCAGCUUAAUGACAAUAGAUUGAU